GACGAACGCUGGCGGCGUGCUUAACACAUGCAAGUCGAGCGGAAAGGCCCUUCGGGGUACUCGAGCGGCGAACGGGUGAGUAACACGUGAGUAAUCUGCCCUUGGCUUUGGGAUAAGCCCCGGAAACGGGGUCUAAUACCGGAUAUGACCAAUCACUGCAUGGUGUGUUGGUGGAAAGUUUUUUCGGCCAGGGAUGUGCUCGCGGCCUAUCAGCUUGUUGGUGGGGUAAUGGCCUACCAAGGCUUCGACGGGUAGCCGGCCUGAGAGGGUGACCGGCCACGCUGGGACUGAGACACGGCCCAGACUCCUACGGGAGGCAGCAGUGGGGAAUAUUGGACAAUGGGCGGAAGCCUGAUCCAGCAACGCCGCGUGAGGGAUGACGGCCUUCGGGUUGUAAACCUCUUUCAGUACCGACGAAGCGCCGAUGAUGGUGGUGACGGUAGGUACAGAAGAAGCACCGGCCAACUACGUGCCAGCAGCCGCGGUAAAAC
rnacentral:rRNA from 1 species